rnacentral:tRNA from 1 species
GUCAGGGAAUAGUUUAAAUAGAACUUCAGCUUUGGGUGUUGAUAGUGG